UUAGGUAUAAUGUGCGAUUACUAUUACUUUAGAUGCGUUUGUAACCAUAUAAUAUGAGGGCAAAAAAAACGUAAUUCUUACUCGAAAACACACUGGAUUUCGUUAGUUCUUAUACGACAUAAUCUGACGGAGCCGUCGUAUUUCUUUCCAAUUUUCUUUUGGUUUCUUGUACCUACAUCGCAGUCGCCUUUUAAAUCGAGUUUGACGACGGCGUGUUUACGACAGAACAAUAAAUAGGUAUAAAUAUAUUUUUUUUUGUACGUCGUUUAUAUUACACCCGAGUAAUAAUACUAAUAAGUAAUAAUAAUAAUACUAAAAAUUUUAUCGCGGCAAUAAUAAUGCUUAAUACGUCGGACACAUUUGUGUUUUAAAAUUUGUUUGUGAUAAAAUAAACUAUAUAAUUUCAAGCCGACAUUCAAAAAUCGACAAACAAACGUAGGUAUAUGACACUCGACGUCUUAAUGGGUAUAUAAUAAUAUAUAUUACCAGUGAGGCGGUAUAUUGCUUAAAAAAUGUGUGUUACCAGAGCCACGGCAAUUGGUAACAAUACUAAAAAAGUGUAUAUAGUUACAAAUGUGCACCGCCACUAUAUAGCACUAUUAUAGGUCUACCAACUGUAAAGUGGUUAGCGUUAUUAAGCGGUCACGUGUCAACGUGAAAACGAUUUGAGUUCCGUUUAAUACCUACGCGGUUUCCUAUGCGUUUUUGCAAACUUAAAACGCAUCUGGUUCAUGGAUGUAAUUUAUAUGGCUGCAGGAUCUAAAACAGUUUUGGUUGCAUCCGAAAACCGCAAACUUAUGAUUUAGACCCCAAAAAGGUCAUCGGACAAAAACCGCAUCUUAUCGACUCGUUGUUUACCGUCUAAGUACCUCAAGCUCGGUGUGGUUUAAAACCAUAUACCGGAUGUAUAAGAGAUUACUAAAAUUAUAAAAUUAUUUGCAGACGGUAAAUAUCUUUCAUAUAUUUUUAUUUCAAUUAAUAUAAUAUAAUUGUUUUAGUAAUUGUAGAGAGUCAAGUUUUCGAGUCAAGUUUAACUUACUAAAACCUUAACCUACUGUGCGGUUUUGUCCUGUGUUUUAUCUUAAACUUGCGGUUUUGGGAUUCAUUGGCUUUAAACACUGCAAUGUAUUUUUUUUUAAUUUACUAACUAUUUAAGUGUAUAUUUCUGGUUGUCAGUACCUAUAUUAUAUAAUACAUUAUUAGUUUUUUUUUAUUAUUGUUUCGUUUUUGUCUCUCAGCUGGUCCCGCUUAUAUACUCAUCAUGUACUUCUAAUUUUGAAUUUUCAAAUAGAAUUUCGGAAAUUUAUUUUUAUUUUAUAUGAAUUCGAAUUAAAAAUUAAGUGCUUUGCGAGUUUUCAUAAUAUUUUUAAGUAAUCAUCUAUAAUAUAUUAUCAUGUAGUAUUAUUUGUAACCAUAUUUAGAAAUUCGGAAACGUAGCACAUGAUGCAUGAGCAUGACUGUUACUGAAAAUUUCCUCACUUGUUUUACAGUGUCGAACUAUAUUUUUUUUUAAAUAUAGCUCAUCAUGAUAUUAUAUUAUGAUAGGUUUUAGGCAUUUGCUUCAUUCCAUCGUAUUUAUGUGUAAUUACUGCAAUACAGGGUGAUUGUUUUAACAAUAAAACACGUUAUUUCGAAGAGUAUUAAUAUUUUUUCUUUACUAUUUGUAUAGUUUUAGUCGUUUACUCAUUUAAAUAACAAUGGACACUUUUAAUUAUGUAUUCUGAAGGAGGAUAUGUUUUUGAUCGUUUUUAUGUUUAAAGUUGUGAAUUAUUAAUGCCCAUUUAAUAAGUACCUAUUUAAUGUUAGUUACAGUUAAUACAAAUUUAGAUUUUAUUUGAUGGGUGGAGUAGAGGACCGAUAUUUUGACAGACAAAUAUGUACCUGCGUACCACACCACUCGGCUCAUCAAGAUUUUAAAUACCCAUAAGUGAGUUAUAAAUAAUUUACUAACUACUCAAGGUAGGUACUUGUUCGAAUUUCGAACUCAAACAUCGAAAUUCUCUAAAUAAUAUUCUACUUCGGAAUACGAAGUUAAAAAGCUCGUUAAAUAAAUAAAAUUAUAAGACACUUGAAGCAUAGAAUUUUUUUUCAAAUAUUGUUCCAUUGUUAUGACUUCGAUAGUUAUGUAAAUGUAUAUUUUAAAAUCUUUAAUAAGUACUUGUCGCCUUGUCGGACAAUGAGUGUUAACUGAUAAAGAAAUCACCCAGUAUACAACACACACAAUAAUAAUUAAUAUUUUAUUUCCAUAUAAGACGUGGGGACAUACGCUGCACUGAGUUGUACGCUUUGGCGCGUACCUAAUUGACUUGAUUUCCACUCGCCACCAGUGCAAUAUAAAUACGUGUAUAGUAUGAUGUACAUGUUGUAUCGUUCAGACACGAAAACUUGUCGUUUGCAAACGAGUUUUGCCCGCCAAAUACGAUAAUAAUUGUGUCCGUCGUUUGCCAAUUUAAAUGGAUUCCUCAAAAACAUUAAAAAAUUUACGAUUGUGAGAGAAUACGAACAUGUCCUCCAAUGAUGUUUAUAGAUAUUUAUUAUUAUUUUUAACUUCUGCAAAACUAAACUCAGACUACGUCCAGGCACAUAUUACGAUUUUUCUCGCGGGAUUUAGUAAGUCGUUGAAAAUCUGGAGGGGUGAAUAAAAUGCAAGUUAUUGUAUCAAGCUGAGCUGCACUUCACGGCUAAGCAUCGCUCAGAAAUUCGAUUAUCGCCAAGUUUCGAGGAACCUCUCCGGUCGUAUAACCGGUGUACCUGUUAUGAGACUCAGAUUUAAAUCCAAUUGUUACGACCUGAGACAUGCCAGAAAUGCUUUGUGUAGACAGAUUUUAUUUGCAGUACCGACUACAUACAUCACAUAAAUGGGCGACUGUAAACUCGACCCCUAUAUUUUUCUGGAUAAUUUGUCUAUUAGGAAUCACCAGAGAAGAACCUGCAGAGGACACCACGACGAGGUGGUUCUCAUCUUCUCCUUCAAAAAAUAAUCGCAUAAAUCGACGAUCAUUGUCAUAUGUCUAUGUAAACCGCCCUGAAAUGUUUUGAAAUUAAAAAACGAAAAUGAAUCGAUUAGUGUUAUGGUCAGUUAUGUAUAUUUUUUUUUAAUAACCACGAGAAGCUGAUACAGCCCGAUGUAUUGGUAAGUACGUUAUUGUUAUUACUAUUAUUCUUCUAAAAUUAAACUGUGACGAGUUUAUUUUAUUUUAUCGGUAAAAGUGAUCGGCCGAGUAGACCUUUUUUUAUAUCCUGCUAUAGGUAUUGCCGGGCUGAACUUUCAUCAAAAAACGUAAUCAAAUUGCUGACAUUUGCCGCACAUCACUCGCUCUGCAGACAAAUAGUCGUUUAGGGCUCUCGACGAUAAUUUUUUUUAAGUCUUUCAAGUGCACCAUGAACACAGUAUAAUAUUCGCGUG